rnacentral:lncRNA from 1 species
GGAGUUUAAUUUAAUUUUAUUUGGUUUUUAAUUUUGGUCCUUAUUUUUUUAUUGCUCUUUUUUAUCCUUUUCUUCAUUUAUUUUUUUUUCAAUUUAAUCCCUAAUUAGUUUCUUUUAAUUAUUUUUGUGCAUGGUUUAGUCCUCAUUGUUUUAAUUUUAUUUUUUUUAUUUUACUAUUUUUAUGAAUUGAAAUUUUUCUUUGUGAUUUUUUCAUGUUUGCUUUUUACAGGGUUAUCUCAGUCUCAUGACUCAGUCCACCAGUUUUGAUGAUGAACCCGAUUUAAGUUCGAUCUUUUUUGCAGUUC